GCGGUACCGGUUCACGCCGUCCGGUCGUGCGCCGAGCGUGCGCCCCAGAGGGCGACCCGGCGACC
rfam:Thermomonospora curvata DSM 43183, complete genome.